AUGUAUACGAUUAUACAUGUACUAAAACACAGCAUAUGUUUUCAUUAAUGAAUGUGCAAAGCACGAUAUCACAGGCGAGAUGUAUUAAAGGAAAAAAAAACAAGAGUCGUCCUCUAAUCUCAGGUACAUAAGUGAAAUUAAACUACAAAAACUAGGUGAAUGUGCCCCUAUGAGAGCCGGGCGACGUCUUUACGUAAAAUUGUGUUAAGGCGUUUUGAUCUGUAUUAUGGCUAAUAUUUUCGUUGAGAAUGGCAAUUGGCGACAAUUUCUCACUGAAACUUUUUAGGUGAUGCAUCGCAUAUUCGCAGUGGUUGGAUAUUUGCAGCGUUGGAGUAUCUUUUCGUUGGAUUCUGGUAGUUUUUGUUGACGCCCUUUCUCAGGACUUUGCGUUCAAAGAUUUCCAUCUCCAUAGCAACUACUGGUGAGAUGGAGAACCAAGUUGGGAAUCCAUAAAGCAGCACAGUCCUGAUGGCCACUUUAUAUAAAAGCAGUUUGGUAUUUUGUGGAUAUGCUCAAAUAUUUUGCCGACAUUUGAAAGCAAGGAGAUAGGCCGAUAUUCCGCCACCGUUUUGCUGCUUGGCUUCUUCUUUAUGGGGAUUAUAUUGGCCAUUUUCCACCCCAAUGGAAAGUAACCCAAGUUUAUGCAGUUAUUAAAAAUGCAUUCGAGGAACUGCAGAGACGAUAAAGAUUACUCCUUUAAUCUUAUCGACACUAGUAAAAUGGAGGGUAUCAGGAUUUUGGACUGCCGGGAAGCUGUCGCUGAAUGUAUAUAUUUGGCGAGGUGUUGGAGAAAGGAAGUCAGCCACCCUUGAGUCAAAAUCUAUGACUGGAGUUGUCUGGCUAAAAGUUGCCUCAUACGAUACUAGGAAUUUUUCAGCAAUCUCCGGUCGGUUGAAAAUUAAAGUGUUGUCGUGCGAAAUACUAUGACAAAGGAAAGACUUCGACCUUCCAACUAUGUUGUAGAUUUCUUUAAAAGCCGUGGGUCAUGGCUUGAUGUUCUUUACUUUUUUAUUGAAAUGGUGUGUAUGCUCAAUGUUUACCAGUUCUUUUAUUAUUGUUUUCAGAAGCUGUAUUUGUUUCGAAAGAAUAAUAUACUCCUGACUUUGUCUAUGGCCGGUUCUGUGAAAGAUCUUUUUGAGAUCUUUCUGCCAAUUGUGCUUUAUUUUAAAGAACUUUUUAACUUUCUCUGAUAGUGGAAAAUGAUCUUUUCUUAGAGGAAUUCUUCGCGAAUGGGCAUCAUGAACAGAAAUGACAACGUUGUUGAAUUCUGCAAUGAAGUCAUCAAUUUCAUUAGUCUCCAGAUUUCUGUUUACAGGUGGCAUAAUAUUUAAUGUUGAGACGUCUAUAUCAUUGCGAAAAUUGUGCCAGUUGGUGUCUUUAUAAGAAGUGUACAUUCGCGGCGAUUACGUAAGUAUUUCCGAUGAGAUUAGACUCAAUUCCAUUUUGAGUGGGAAAUGAUCCGAAAAAGUGGAGAGAGUUGAGACCUUGUAAUUCAAGUCUAAUGGAUUGAUGAGAUUCGGGCUGACAAGGAAAUGGUCCAGAAAUGAUGGGCCAUUCGGAUAUGAGGGAGAGGAGUCACAGAGGCGAACCACAUCCAAUGCAUGGUCUAACAGCCAGGCAUGAAGGACUUUGCCAUUAGAGUUCUCAGUACUGUCACCCCAAGAUAAACUUUUAGAAUUUAGGUCCCCUCCUAAAAUGAAUCCAUCAUAUCUAGAAAGCAAAUCCAACAGUCUAUCAAGAUCUGCCUGUAGUCUCUGCGCAGCAUAGUUACAUGGAAAGUAAAUAGAGCCAAUUAUGAUUUUCUUCUGUGUGUUGUUAGAAAGCGAGUCGAUUUGUAUAAAGGCAGAGUGCAGAUACUUAAUAUUGUUCUUAACUAGAAUGGCUAAUUUAUGCAUCCACAAAUACUUAAUAUGAAUUUGCAAUGAAUUUGUUUACAUUUUAUGUAGAGAUAAAAACCACAUAUCUGAUUUUCUUGAUAUUUUUUUUUAUUUUAGCGUCUGUAUGUGAUAGAAGCUAGAUAUAUAUUUGACUCAUUCACACUUAUGUGUGGGAAAGGGAACACAAUAUAAUCUUGUAUAGUAUAAACAAUUUAUACUAUUAAACAACAAUUUAAUUCGUAAAAGUAAAAUUAUAUUCAACGUAUGCCUUAUUUUGCAAAUACUUGCCGUGAUAAAAACAUAUCGAAUUCCUAUAUUAAAAAUAAAGCAAUUAAAGCCUUGAUGAAAAAUUUUUAUAAGUCAA